UAAAAAAUCAUACCUCUUUAAAUCUCAUCUCUAAUGACAAUUACAUGGCACUGGUAAUGUCAAAACCUCCUCCUAAUCUUAUUAUGGUGGAAGAAACUCGCCUGGCUCAUGUUAUUCCCAUGGGUAAAUUUUUUGGGUUCUCAUUUCCCUACAAAGAGUUUUGCCUUGACAAUAACUGUGACAAGGCACCUAGUGAGGGGGGAGGAUCUAGAAAUUCUCCAACUGAAAGUCCUCUGUUUGGCAUCCUCCCUCAAGGUUUUUAGAGUUGGACCAAGUUAACUCAAUGGACUUAGACUAUCUCUUCGAAAUUUCCAAAAUUAAUGCCUCAUAUGGAACCCAUUCAUCCACCUGUUCCUCUUUCUGUUCUGGAUAUAGAUGACAUUCCUAUUUCCAAUUUGGUACCUCAUAGGAAUUGUUCCAGAUUGUAAAAAGCCAAUGUUAUAUAAUUCCCGAGACUGAGUCCCUGUUGAAGCAUCCGUAACACCUGCUCAUACCAAAUAAGCAUAGACAGAAGGAAGAAGCUCUCAACAUAGAUAGUUAAGCUAGUAAGAAAUCUUGCCCUUGCUCCUAUAUUCCUAAUCCAUCUAUUUUUUCCCCUUCUUCAAAUGAUGAUUUUGUUAUAAGCAGAGUUCACAAAGGAAAAAACGUUACCAGACCUAAGCCUAAGUUUGUUAAAUUCUCUCUUCCUUUAUCCUUGAAAUCCAAGUUUUCAAAAUUUGUAAAAUCCUCUAAAGUCACAUUUUUUGCACCAAAGAAAUAGAUCUCUUGACCUGCUCCCUCUGCCUUAGACCUCCUGUUGUUUCCAAUUUCUAUAGAAGAAGCUAUUGAUCCCACUCUUAACCAUAUCAUCAAGUUUUAAGAGUAAUCUAUGGUGUGUGGCGGAGUCAUGAUUGGUUUUGGAGGCUUGACAUAACUACCUCUUUUACCAAAAGUGCAGCACAAGGUUGCUGCUCUCUUCUUCUUCAGGGUACUGUUUAGCGUAAGUUGGCAAAAAAGAGGUUAUGGAGUUUUACAUUAAUGGUAAAAUUGGUGGGGUUAUCUUUACUUCAUAUGUGAAUGGUGUUCCAAUUCAUAUCACUAUUGUUGAUGUUGUAAGGAUUUUAGAUGUGCCUUCUAGUGGUUAGAGUCAUUAUAUCAAGUAUGAAUGGCCUCCGUUGACCAACAUGGAUUCAGCUUUUGACAUUACCAAGAAGUUUUUUUGGUCAGCCCAAUCUUACUCACCACCGCUAAGUUGAGAAUAUGACUAUGGAUGUGUCUGGAAGGGUGAACCAUGCUACCUUACCUGAUUCUAUGAAGCGUGCCAACACUCUUUUACAAAAGGCAAAGAAUACUUUUGUAGAGAAGAUUGUUGAGUUGUAUGCUGCUCAAUCCACUCAUCAAAGGGAAAAGGAGGUUCUUGAAGCCAUGAUUGUAGCUCUGCAGACUGAUUUGGAUACAGAAAAGCCUAAAAAUUUUGCUACAAUUCGUCACGUCACUCAGUUAUUGCUAUCUUCUUUUUUCUUCCAUUCCUAGUCCUCCUAUCCUUGAGCCAUGUCCUUCAAUUAUUUUUUUUUGUUAUGCUCAGUUGCUUAAUUGAUUUGUUUUGUUUUAUGUCAAUUGGAUGACAUUAUCCUGAUGAUGAACGAUAUGGUUCUCAUUUGGCUUACUA